AGUGCUACAGAUGCCACAAGAAAGGACACUGGAGAAAAGAUUACACAGAGAAGAUAGAUGAAAAGAUAAGUAGAUUUGCAUUUGCAUGUUCAGAAAGUAAUCAGUCGAGCGAAACAGAGGUACAGACAGGUAAAUCACCGUUAGGUAGACUGAGAAGUAAUCUGGGUCAAUGGCGUUCGAUUGAAGCGAGCAGGUAUGUGUUGAGUGUUACUGAAUUUGGCUAUAGUUUGCCGUUUUUUACUAUUCCGAGUUCUGUAGAGAUUAAAAACAAUAAAUCUGCUAUAGACGAUGACAGGUUUGUGUCGCCAGAGAUAGAAAAGUUGGUAAGGAAGGGUUGUGUGCAGGAGGUUAUAGGAAAACCUACAGUGGUUAAUCCAAUGACAGUAGCAGGUAACAAAUCAAAACGAAGGUUGGUUUUAGAUGCAAGGCAUGUUAAUCCACAUUUGUUUAAGAAUAAACGCAAGUAAGAAGAAUCGAGUACAUAGCGAGAGUUGUUUCAAAUGGGGGAUUUUUUGUUUUUAUUUGAUUUGAAAAGCGCUUACCACCACAUUAUAAUAAAUGAAGGGUAUAAAAAAUACUUGGGUUUUAAGUGGAAAGAAAAAUAUUAUAUUUUCAAUGUUCUAUCUUUUGGUCUUAGUACCGCUGGAUACAUUUUUACAAAAGUUUUGUGUGAGGUUGUCAAGUUUUGGAGAUCAAAAGGUCACAAAGUUGUCAUGUAUCUAGAUGAUGGCAUAGGAGGUUCUCAAACUUUUGAGAGUGCGGAAAUUCUUAGUUCAGAAAUACAGGCGGACCUAAAUGCUUUGGGUUUUAUUUUGGCUGAUGUCAGUGGAAACCUACGCAGGAGAUAGAUGGCUAGGGUUAGUAUGGAACACAGAAAUUAACAAGUUAUUGGUGUCUAAUCCCAGAAUUCAGAAACUCAAGGGAAAUAUUCAAAACAUUUUGGAAGGCUAUACAGCAGGUUUCAAGUGGUUUGAAGUUCGUUCCAUUGCAUCAGUAGUUGGACAGAUUAUUUCAACACAGACUGUGUUUGGUGAUAUGGUUAGGUUAAGAACAAGAUACUUGUAUUAUUGCAUACUAGUAAGAUCCGGUUGGAAUUUUUAUAUUAUGAUGAGUCAGGAGGCGGUGGAUGAGCUUCAGUUUUGGGUAACUAAUUUAGAAACAUGAAUGAAAAAGGUACUCAUUUGAGUCAGAUAACAGAUACAGAGAUUAGACAAAUCGCAUUGUUCUGUGAUGCUUCAGAUUCAGGUUAUGGAGGUCAUUUGACUUUAUGUUCAAAGGAUGAACAGCAGGAAUUCGAAUGGUAUUGUAUUUGGAAUGAGCGGGAAAGCGUUCAGAAUUCCACUUGGAGGGAGCUGGAAACGGAUUAGGAUUACGGGAGAGAGUACGGAAUGUAGUACUGGACAGUGGAGUUAAACCUGGCAGUUAUUUGGACGACCUUUGCCCCCACAUGAGUGUUCUUAUUUUAUCAAGCAAAAGUGACAACACCAAUAGGACAUAUUGCAACUCUUUCAAAAGAUGGGAACAUUUUAUAAAGUCACAAGGACACAGUGCUCUGCCGGCGAAUCCGAUUCAUGUCGCAUUAUAUCUGACACAUCUAGUAGAAAAUGGUGCAACGCAGCAUCCUGUAAAUUCGGCUGUGUAUGCGAUUAAAUGGGCGCAUGACAGAGUUGGUUUACCGGAUCCGACCAAAAAUUCUGAUGUUUCAUCUAUACAGGAAGCAGCGAGGAAAAAAGCGUCAAAAUCUGUUGACGAAAAGGAUCCAAUAACAAAGGAUGUGUUAAUAGAAUUAUGUGAAAAAUUCUCGGAUUCAACGGAUUUGUUAAUUGUUAGAAACCUCACGAUGAUUUUGUUCAGUUUUGCAGGUUUUUUACGAUUCGACAAGCUUAGUUCUCUGUGUUUUAAUGAUGUGUUAGUUAACGAAGAUCACCUGGUUGUUUUUAUAAGGAAGAGCAAGACAGACCAAUACUGUCAAGGAAACGAAAUUUUGAUAUCGAAAGGGAACCCAGCGGCUUGUCCGGUAAAUAUGUACUAAGGGUAUCUGGAUCUGUUGGAAGAUGUGGAAGAGAAACUUUUUUUCAUAUUCAGACCAAUUUUUAGGUCAAAGGGCAUUUGUAAAUUAAUAUGUAAAAACAAAAAAGUUAGUUAUUCUGCUGCCAGAAAUAAUAUAUAACCUUUAAUUAAAUCUGUUGUGGGGAAUGUUAAUAUAGGGCUUCAUUCUUUGAGGGCAGGGGGAGUGACUGUGGCUGCAAAUUAAAAUGUAGACGAAAGGUGUCUGAAAAGGCAUGGUAGAUGGAAAAGUGAAAGUGCAAAGAAUGGGUAUAUUGUGGAUUCAGUUGAAAAACGUUUACGUGUUUCAAAGUCUCUUGGUUUUUUUUAAUUACAGUCGUUUUCCCAUAAUUUGAAAUAUCUAGCACACGAACGGCUGGCUGUCAUACAUGGUACAUGUAUGUUGUUGUUUAUGUUUAUAGUAAGUGGAGUAAAUACUUAUAUUUUCCCGCGUUUCGAUAGCAAUAAGGGGGAAAUGUUGUUUUAAUGACCACAUGUUUAUAAGUUAUAUGUAUUGUAUUGGUCAGAAAUUGACCAAUAGAAAAAGGUUUUCAAUGGUAGCAAAGAACAGGUUUUUGAGGGUGGGUCACUUCUAGCCGCCGUUCCAAGCGGAGUGACAUCAAAAGUUAAAAAAGUUUUUAUUAAGGUACAAAGCAAUAAAUAUACAUGUGUUUAUAUAAUUGCAUAUGGAUGUGUCUUUUAUUAUGUUUGUAAGUUAUGAGGUCCGUCAUAACAUUACAGCAUCCAGCGGCACUUGGCUACGGACACAGGUUUUCUAGAGUUUUUAUGAUAAAAAUAUUUUAUAUCUCUAGUUUUUUCCUGGCCGGCCCUGAUGCGCUUCGCAUAUGUUUCGUAUAUGCGCAAUAUAACUUUAUUACAUGCACUAAUUUGUUACAAAUAUGUCUGGUUGAAAUAUGUUGUAUGGUGUAAUUGUAAUAUAUUAAGUAUUUAAGUAUUGUGUUGAAAGUAAAAUGAAAUAAAUACGGCGUCCAGCGCACACGCACAGCUGGCUGUUAUACAUGGUA